UGGGGAAUCUUGCGCAAUGGGCGAAAGCCUGACGCAGCAACGCCGCGUGGAGGAUGAAGGCCCUUGGGUUGUAAACUCCUGUCGGCUGGGAAGAAAUCGUUCGGGGUUAAUACCCCCGGACGUUGACUGUACCAGCAAAGGAAGCCCCGGCUAACUCUGUGCCAGCAGCCGCGGUAAUACAGAGGGGGCUAGCGUUAUUCGGAAUUAUUGGGCGUAAAGGGCGCGUAGGCGGCCAUGCGUGUCUUCCGUGAAAUCCCUCGGCUUAACUGAGGACGUGCGGAAGAAACUGCAAGGCUCGAGUCCGGGAGAGGGGGGUGGAAUUCCCAGUGUAGCGGUGAAAUGCGUAGAUAUUGGGAGGAACACCGGUGGCGAAGGCGGCCCCCUGGACCGGUACUGACGCUGAGGCGCGAAAGCGUGGGUAGCAAACGGG
rnacentral:rRNA from 1 species